UACGUAGGGUGCGAGCGUUGUCCGGAAUUAUUGGGCGUAAAGAGCUCGUAGGCGGUUUGUUGCGUCUAUCGUGAAAACCUGCAGCUUAACUGUGGGCUUGCGGUGGAUACGGGCAGGCUAGAGUCCGGCAGGGGAGACUGGAAUUCCUGGUGUAGCGGUGAAAUGCGCAGAUAUCAGGAGGAACACCGGUGGCGAAGGCGGGUCUCUGGGCCGGAACUGACGCUAAGGAGCGAAAGCGUGGGGAGCGAACAGG
rnacentral:rRNA from 1 species